UCGUUACAAAGGAUAACGAAGAAACAGUAUUAAAACCCGUGAUUUGAAAACAGUCAAUCUAGAGUCUAGAGUCUAGACCACACAUGCCAAAAGAAAAGCUCCUUCCAUUCUCUCGUUAUCCAGAUCAUCGAAGGUCUCAAGAACUCCUCUCGGCUUCCAAUUUUAAGGGAAAAAAAAAUUAAAAAUUCGAGAUCUGUUUUAGAGAGUGACCGAACUCCAUCUCCAUCUCCAUCUCUUGAGAGGCACUGUCCAGAUUCGAGAGGGAUUUGAUGUUCUGCUUUGAUUCUCCUAGAGGGAUUUCGCCGCCCGGAUUGAAAGAGGGAUUUCUCCAACCGUCAGGACAGAGACCAAGAGGUUAAUUCUUGAUGCACUGCUCCUAAAUUUGAAACAGAAGUUGAAACGAAGCUAUUGAAGCCUAGAGGUUUUCGCGUUCAUUUGAGUUUAAGGUAUGGCUUCAUUCUGCUACAAGAUAAUAGUGAUUAAUGAAAAAAUGAAAAUAUUUCUCUCCAGGGACAAUCAUACGGAGGAAGUGAGAAAAGUAUAAGGUCCAUUGUUGGAAAGAAAGUUAAAUUCAUUAGGUUUAAUGCUUCUUUUUUGAUUUCAUGUGGUUGUUUAAUAUAGGAAAAUGAUAAAAUGAAAAUAAUGACAAUAAAAAAGAAGAUAAUAAAAAAAAAAAAAAAAAUUGAAGUUGAAAUUCCCAAUAUUGAUGAAUCAAAAUUCUAAUGAGAGCCUCAGUCAUGUUUAGAAUUAGUAAGGAAUGAAAUGAAUGGUUAGGCUGCGAUGUUUUUACGCCAACUUAAUAUCAUUUAGUGUGUUUAGUGCAAUCAAAUUCUUGUUCUUCUUAUUCUGCAUUGCAGGUCCUAAGCUGGAAACCAACAAACCAAAUCUGUUUAUUUUCCAAACUUUGCAAAUUCUACCUUCCCUCGCCUAAGACCAUCUACCUUGGCUCUGCAAAAUGGAGAAACUGCUAAGAAUAUUGAGGGGACCUGAACAAGGGUACGUUUAUUAGUGCUUCAGAAGAUGAAACUGGAGUCCUGGAAUUCAUUGACCAGAAAAUCGCCAGAGCUACAAUGAUCCCAAGGUCCAUGGGGAUAUAUCUUUUCCUAUUACUGAUGAAUUAUAAAAUUAGAUAAAUAAUAAGGAUAUGUGAAGGUUUACAAAUCAAAUACACGCCUUUCGAAUAGUUAAGGAAGUCAUGUUAGACGAGAUGGUGCUGAUAGAUGCCAGGUUAAUUCAACACAACCUAACCUGAACAAAAGGAGUGCACAUUCCAUAUUUGAUAGAGUAACCAAGUACACUGGUAGUCAUUUUUUUUUUGACACAUCCAUUGAAAGUGAUCAAGUCAGGUACGCUUGUCCCACUGACAAUCAAUAAUCAUACUGUAACAUAAUUACACUUACCAUCUCAUAGAUAAGUUCUUGGACCUAGGAACUCUAAUAAGCAAAGUAUUUGCUCACAUUCCCAAGGGAUAAUUUCUAUUUUUCCUCUUUCAUUUUAAGAAGCCCACUAACUUGAUUGUUGGUGUGUCUCCUUUGGAAGAUCUCUCGGGGACCUUUUGAACAUUCUUUCUUGUGUGCAGGUCCUUUUAGUGGAGACGUAAUUGUGUAACCUCUUUAAUGUGAGAUUAAAUUUUGGCUUCA